rnacentral:rRNA from 1 species
UACAGAGGGUGCAAGCGUUAAUCGGAAUUACUGGGCGUAAAGCGUGCGUAGACGGUUAUUUAAGUCAGGCGUGAAAGCCCCGGGCUCAACCUGGGAAUUGCAUUUGAGACUGAAUAGCUAGGGUGCGGAAGAGGGAAGCGGAAUUUCCGGUGUAGCGGUGAAAUGCGUAGAUAUCGGGAGGAACACCUGUGGCGAAAGCGGCGCACUGGACCAUAACUGACGCUGAGGCGCGAAAGCUAGGGGAGCAAACAGG